rnacentral:rRNA from 1 species
CAGCAGCCGCGGGAAUACAGAGGGUGCAAGCGUUAAUCGGAAUUACUGGGCGUAAAGCGCGCGUAGGUGGUUCGCCAAGUUGGAUGUGAAAUCCCCGGGCUCAACCUGGGAACUGCAUCCAAAACUGGCGAGCUAGAGUAUGGUAGAGGGUGGUGGAAUUUCCUGUGUAGCGGUGAAAUGCGUAGAUAUAGGAAGGAACACCAGUGGCGAAGGCGGCUUACUGGCUCAUACUGGACGCUGAGGUGCGAAAGCGUGGGGAGCAAACAGGAUUAGAUACCCCUGUAGUCCCUGUCUCUUAUAA